rnacentral:rRNA from 1 species
UACAGAGGGGGCAAGCGUUGUUCGGAAUUAUUGGGCGUAAAGGGCUCGUAGGCGGUCUGUCGCGUCGGAGGUGAAACACAGGGCUUAACCCUGAGCCUGCUUCCGAUACGGGCAGACUAGAGGUAUGCAGGGGAGAACGGAAUUCCUGGUGUAGCGGUGAAAUGCGCAGAUAUCAGGAGGAACACCGGUGGCGAAGGCGGUUCUCUGGGCAUUACCUGACGCUGAGGAGCGAAAGUGUGGGGAGCGAACAGG